rnacentral:rRNA from 1 species
UACGAAGGUGGCGAGCGUUGUUCGGAUUCACUGGGCAUAAAGGGCGCGUAGGCGGUGCCGCAAGCGGCGUGUGAAAUUCCGGGGCUCAACCCCGGAACGGCGCGCUGGACUGCGGUGCUCGAGUGCGGGAGGGGGGUGCGGAACUCUAGGUGGAGCGGUGAAAUGCGUAGAUAUCUGGGGGAACACCCGUGGCGAAGGCGGCUCUUUGGUCCGAAACUGACGCUGAGGUGCGAAAGCUAGGGUAGCAAACAGG